rnacentral:tRNA from 1 species
GGGGCCGUGGCCUAGUCAGGAAAGGCGACGGGCUCCAGACCCGUAAAUCGAGGGUUCAAAUCCCUUCGGCCCCA